rnacentral:misc_RNA from 1 species
GAUGAAGAACGUAGCGAAAUGCGAUAAGUAAUGUGAAUUGCAGAAUUCAGUGAAUCAUCGAAUCUUUGAACGCACAUUGCGCCCCCUGGAAUUCCGGGGGGCAUGCCUGUUCGAGCGUCUCAGGGGCGAACCCUCGCGCGGGUGUACGCGCGGUCGUGGCUGCGGUGGCGUGCCCGAGGCGGCGGCCACCGCGCUGGAAUCCAUGGGCGGACGCCUGCCGCGUGGCCGAGCGUGAUAUGACGCAUUGGCGCUCGCACGCGGCGAGGCUGCCAGCCCUGGCCCGUCUGUCGGGCGGGGGAGAGCAAGACACGUGAACUCCUCGAAUCAGGUAGGGAUACCCGCUGAACUUAAGCAUAUCAAUAAGCGGAGGA